AUGAAUGGCGUAACGAGAUGGGAGCUGUCUCAACCAGAGAUUCAGUGAAAUUGUAGUGGAGGUGAAAAUUCCUCCUACCCGCGGCAAGACGGAAAGACCCCGUGGACCUUUACUACAACUUAGCACUGCUAAUGGGAAUAUCAUGCGCAGGAUAGGUGGGAGGCUUUGAAGUAAGGGCUUUGGCUCUUAUGGAGCCAUUCUUGAGAUACCACCCUUGAUGUUUCUGUUAGCUAACUGGCCUGUGUUAUCCAUAGGCAGGACAAUGCUUGGUGGGUAGUUUGACUGGGGCGGUCGCCUCCUAAAAAGUAACGGAGGCUUGCAAAGGUUGGCUCAUUGCGGUUGGAAA
rnacentral:rRNA from 1 species